rnacentral:rRNA from 1 species
UACGAAGGGGGCUAGCGGUGCUCGGAAUCACUGGGCGUAAAGCGCACGUAGGCGGCUUUUUAAGUCAGGGGUGAAAUCCUGGAGCUCAACUCCAGAACUGCCUUUGAUACUGGGAAGCUUGAGUCCGGGAGAGGUGAGUGGAACUGCGAGUGUAGAGGUGAAAUUCGUAGAUAUUCGCAAGAACACCAGUGGCGAAGGCGGCUCACUGGCCCGAUACUGACGCUGAGGUGCGAAAGCGUGGGGAGCAAACAGG